CACUUACUGGACAUGACACAGACCUGCCCUCUCUAAUAUGAUCAUUUAAGUGAGACACUAGAUCUUUCACCGAAACAAGAAGUUAAAUAGGUUCAUUUGUGUAAUAAGUAACUUUGCCUGUUUGCAAAAUGUGGCUUGUUUUGAAUGUUUCAGGUUUACUUUAAGUUUAACAGGGUUGUUGGAAGAAAUCUUAAAGAAGAAUUCUUUGGUGUGGUUGAUGGGUUGUGUCCAAACUUGAUGGAAAUCUUCAAGGGUAAGACAGGUCGGAUUGGCCAGCAGUUAGCGGAGCUACUACAACAGACAAAGAGCACUGAGCCAACAGCCACUAGAUGUCUUGUCCCGAGGGGACUUCCAGUCAUUCUUGGGGAUGAUGCAUCUAUGUUCCUCAAGAGCAGCUCUGUGAUUAACUUUAUUUAAAUUAUUAUUGUUACUUACUUAACAUUGUUACUUAAUAUUGCCAUUUUGCUGUACGUUUUGAAUUAUUUGGGAAGAAUCUUAAUGAUGGAAAAUUCUUGAACAUUCCAGUGGGAAUUCUCUGCUAUGAGGAAAACAGAGCCACAAGUCCAGCAUCAACACAACUGAACCCCUCAAGAGUGGGGGUCAUCCUGGAGGGCAGCCUUGUAAAGGAUGCACACACCAACCUACCUAAAGCAAUGUGCCUCUUGUUUGGCUUUACCUAUGCACUAAACUUGGAGUACCCAAAGUGCAUGAAAAACACUUAUCUUCAUUCAGCAGGUUAUACUAAGCUUAGGUUGAAGUGAGCUACUACCAAAGGUUCAAAAGCUGAAUGAUCUUGCAGUGUAAGACACAUUUAUGAUCAUGGCACAAUUGCAAAUAUUCUUGCAGUUGGUCAUUUUGUAAUAUAUGUUUCUUCUUGUAAUAAAUGUGUCCAGUGUUCUUACAAAUGUUUGUUAAACCUGAACUGAAACUGUUUAACAGAGGACACAUUUUAGAAAGUUGCAGUUUGUGUUUUUUGAAGGUGAAGCAGGGUUUGUUGGGAAACCAGCAGGGUAGUGGGACUUGGUUUGGGAACCCCUGCUGUAAACAUAAUGGUUUUAUGUUAAAUGUUGUAUAAUACUGUGACACUUAAUGUUUACAUGGUAAGUGUUGUUAAAAUGUGUUUUUAUUUUCCAGAUUUGAAAUUUAUGUACUGAGCAAACAAAAAAAAAAAACUAUGUUGGAGGAAAUUGUUUCACAAUUCAUCAAACACGUUUCAUUUGCUAAAACAAAAAAUGCAGUUUCGGGGUUUUUCGAAGUGAUUGUCAGAGAAAAUAUCUGUAGCAAUAUGUAAGAAUAGACUGUAGUACCUGGUGUUAAAAACACAUUUUGGUCAUUUUACUGUUCUUACUGUUUAAAGCUUAUUUUUGAAAACUGGUUUUACAUC